rnacentral:rRNA from 1 species
AGAGUGAACGCUGGCGGCAGGCCUAACACAUGCAAGUCGAACGGCAGCACGAGAGAGCUUGCUCUCUUGGUGGCGAGUGGCGGACGGGUGAGGAAUACGUCGGAAUCUGCCUUUUUGUGGGGGAUAACGUAGGGAAACUUACGCUAAUACCGCAUACGACCUACGGGUGAAAGCGGAGGACCUUCGGGCUUCGCGCAGAAAGAUGAGCCGACGUCGGAUUAGCUAGUUGGAGGGGUAAUGGCCCACAAGGCGACGAUCCGUAGCUGGUCUGAGAGGAUGAUCAGCCACACUGGGACUGAGACACGGCCCAGACCUCACGGGAGCAGCAGUAGGAAUGUUAGGACAAGUGGGACCGAAAGCCUAGACUCCGAGACGAACUCGACCGCGUAGGAGGU